rnacentral:rRNA from 1 species
UACGGGGGGAGCAAGCGUUGUUCGGAUUUACUGGGCGUAAAGGGCGCGUAGGCGGCCUCUGCAAGUCACUUGUGAAAUCUCCGGGCUUAACUCGGAACGGUCAAGUGAUACUGUCGGACUAGAGUACAGAAGGGGCAACUGGAAUUCUCGGUGUAGCGGUGAAAUGCGUAGAUAUCGAGAGGAACACCUGCGGCGAAGGCGGGUUGCUGGGCUGAUACUGACGCUGAGGCGCGAAAGCCAGGGGAGCGAACGGG